rnacentral:lncRNA from 1 species
AAUCUCUAAGCAGCAUUUUAUUUCUGCAAAACAGACAUAUAGUACUGAUUAAAUAUCUACAAGUGCUUUCCCUUUACAAAAAUACAUAUAUUCUUAAUAGACUAAGUCAUUAACAAUGACCUGGUAAUCUUUCACUUCAAUUUGAAUGAUUUAUAAGCUAAAUCUUACAACCACAAAAAGGUUUUUAUUUGUAUUAAGAUGUUACCACUUUUGACAAAAAGAAAGCUUAAAAUAUUUCAUAUUUCAAAGGAAAAUUAGCAACAGAACUGUACAGUAUAGUCUAUGAUGGUUUAAUUUAACGUGAGGGCUACUCUGUUAAGAACUGGUGCGUGCUGUUGAGCUGCCAGAAGUAGGAAACGCAGAACACUGGUGCUCCCCGCACAAGCUCUUGUCGCCGACCACAGCUUCAUAAGGACACUUGGGCCCCUAUCCCCAUUCAAAAAAAUACAGCAAAAGAAAACCGCCCCCAAACAAUGGUAGGCUGAUCCCAUUCCAUUUCUAAUGUGCAGAACGCCUGCUAUGCUGGACUGAUGUGAAGUCCACAUACACAUAAUCUAUUUACUAUUU